AAAAAAAAGAAAAUGAGAUGUGGGAUAUUUCAGGAAGAAAAUUCGGAAUCUAGGAAUCCUCAAGGGAUGGUCACAACCAGGAUCUCACAGAGGACAGGGGGCGGGGGGGUGGUGGUGGGAGGGUUGGAGAUAAAAAAAACAACCAAGCCUGCAGUGGAAGCAAAACUGCCUUAAACCACUCCGCGUCGGAAAUCCAUGUAUAGCCCUUGCUGCCGUCCCUCCGUGCAGCGGAAUAACCGGCUGGCGAGUGCCUGUGUGCGGAAGGCAGGGAGAAGCAGGCUCAGCUCGGCGCUGUAUGCCUCAGCAGUCCAAAAAGAAACAACAGAAACUGUUGCCUGCAAAAGGCAGCUGCUUCUUUACCUCUUCUCCACCCCUCCCGACUGCCGGGGCUGGGGAGCGGCUCCGCAGGGAGCAGAGACAGGAGGAGGAGGGUGGAAGGGGACUUUCCAAAAGUACCCGAGCAUCGGGGACAGAAGUUUCCAGGGCUGAGCUCUCUGCCUCGGACCUCGCUCCGUCUGCGGCAGGCGAUUGCUUUGGCAAAGGAGCCGAGGUGCUGGAGGAGGAGGUAGGAGUUUUCCCUCCUCACCGGCCGUUUCCCUAGCUCAGCAAGUAGCAGCCUCUCUAAUCCCCGGCGAAGAUCAUGCUGCUCGGGCGAUUAUUUCAUCGCGGCAAGCUGCUCCUCGGAGGAAAUUCUCAUUACGCUCUUCGGAGAGGCAAGGGAGGGGCGACUGUCACUCAGCUGCUCUGGAAAAAACAGAGGGAUGAGCCUGCAGCAUCCCCGGGCUCCGGCGCACGAGACGUGGUAGUGUUUCUAGGUCAGGCUGGUGAUGCGGGACGUGAAGCCAGCAGAGAUGACAUCCUGGCUGUGUCACCUUCUGUUCCUCGAUGGGCAAGGGUUGCACAUGGGGGCCGGGGCUUGGUGGAUGUUUUCUCAGGAGGAGCAGUACUGGGGGGAUGGAGGGCGAUGAGGAGGUGGGAAGGAGCUUCAUGUGUGCUCACAGGAGGGAGGGGACGUGUGUAGAGAACUGGAGUCGGCUCAUGGGUCCAAAAAGUGUCUUUGAGAGACCAUGGGGCCAAGGCUGAGACCUGGCUGCAGGAGCCAGAGACUGCGUUCGAGAGCAGGGAAGGGCUGAUGAGGCCACCCUCUUCCCCAUGUCUAGGGCUGCUGCUCCUCCGUCCAUCCCCACGAACCACGUAAACAGGCGGGAGCGGGGCCCUGUGGCACACUUUAAUUAAGGGAUGGAGACACUAACUUCGCCUUUCCCCAGAGGAUUGCAAAAGGCCCAGGCGGGUCCCGCACUGCAGCUCACGGCCAUCCCUGCUCUGACACGCGCUCUGCCCCCUAUGUUACAACACAGGGCUCUGACUCACCGGCCGUUCCCAGCCCGCUGCUUCCCAAGCCUGGAGACAUUGCAGGGAUCCUUCAGAUGGAUGUAGGGAGUCUGUCUCCUCUGCACUCCAGUCCGCAUCCAGAGCUGGAUGUGGUAGAUAGGACAUGGCACAGUCCUUGGGCCUCUGCAUGGAGCUCCAGAGUGAGGACAGCAUUCUAGAGGAGUUAUCCCCCGUGACUGGAGGAUGUGGGAAAAGGAGUGUGACCUCUCCAGAUCCUCUGACCCCAGCAGGCUGGUUGUGACUACAAGCCAUGGAUCAGACCCAGAGCAAGGGCCCAUGGCACAGCAUUUACAUACCCACAUCCUGCCCCAGGCCUGGGCCUUGGGCCAGACACAGGGUUUUGCUCCUCAGGGUUCCUUCCCAUCCCACUGCUCAAAUGAUGCAUGGAAGAGAUUUAAAAGGAGAGAGAGAGGAAGGUGGGAGUGAGGAGGUGAGUCCAGAUUCUCUUCCCUCCCUGCCUCUUUCCAGCACUUUGCAAACACAGUAUCUUUGCAAUGUCCACUGGAGGAGGAAAAACACCUCCUGCAACAUGCCCAAGGCUGGAUGUGUGUUUGGGCAGGGAUUGCCCCAUGGUGUGGCCAGCCCCAGGCACAUGACCCCGAUUUUGCCCUGCUCUCUCUCCCCGUUCCUCAUGCUGUCCCCAGCAGGACACCACCCAGAGCCACUCCACAGGAGUGCCCACCCAACCAGGGCCACCCGUCUGCCCCAAGCUGGCCAUGGAGUGUCAAUGGCCAUUAUCCUGCAGGGACAACUGUGGAGAACCACCACUCCUUCGUCUCAUCCCUCCUUGGUGCAUUGGCACACCUGGGAGAAGACGGACACACAACGCGCACGCACACACUCACAAAACCAACCCCAAAUCUGGAUCAGUAUCAGAGAGAAUUAAUUACUGGCUCAUGCAUAUUCAGAUGAGAAACUCAGCUGAACCUGGCGGCGCCUUGGGCGGCCCUGCAAAGGAGAAUUCCUCUGGAGAGAUAUAAAUCACUGCUCCCCUCUAUUGCUUUCCCUGUGGAGCGCUACCUCCUGGGGAAGAACUGAACCUUGAUUUCCUUUUUUCCCCUCCUUCUUCUUCGUUUUCAAUCUGCGCGGGGCCCCAAUAAUUACAAUGGGCUGCUUUAGGGCUUGAGUUAUUUAUUGGGUAACAGGGACACACCUACCCAGCUCCAGCCGCCUGCCUGCCCGCGUGUCACAGCUUGUCGUGCCUACCCAGCAGUGCCUGCUGUGCCGUGCCGUGCUGUGCCGUGCCGUGCUGCUUUAGCUUGAGGCAGCACGGGCAGCAGCAGCAAACAGGGACCACCAGCCUUACAUGAGCUACUAAAGGCACAUCCGUGGUGGUGUAACCCCCCUGAGCAGGGGCAAGAGUCACACUCUUGCUUAUUGCAAAACACUGUCUAGCACGCACGUUUGGGGUGCCACUGGAGCUCACACCACUUGUGAAAUCCUUGGCCCCAUUUUACAGGUGGGGAAAGUGAGGCAUGGAGCAGGGAGGUGAUUUCCGCAGGGUCAUCCCCAGAGAUCGGAAGAAGAACCCACUCCUUCAACCAAUGAGUGGCUGGGAAAGAAGGUGCCGGCCCAACUGCUCAGCUCAAGAUUUCGGCUGGUGGGACCUGUCCCCUGUGCCUCUGCUUUCCUUCCCAGUGGGAGUCCUCUGCCUAGCCCCAGCUCUGCAUCCCUCCGCCCAACCCCUCUCCCCCCACAGGCAGGCCUGUGUGCUUGGAGGAGAAGAGCACUCAGGGCUGGAGACCACAUGGCUGGAGGGAAUUAAAUAAUUGAUGGACCAGAAGUCUCAAGCAGAUACCGAAUCUCCAGGGGCAGCAUUUGAGAGGCAAAGCAGAGCCCCAGACAAGACCCUUCUCUCUGAUAUGAUUCCAACAUAUCUCAUUCCUGCCUGGGGCCUCUGGUGGGCUGAAGAUGUGGGGAUAGGAGUGCUCCUCCACUCGUCUCCCAGCUCACCCCCCGUGCUGCUGGAGCUCUGGAGGGACUGGCCAUGUUCGAGCCCAGCAGGGAGGAGCCGGGGGUAGGAGGCCACUGCUUCCAGGCUGAAACCCUCCUGCUUCAGGUGGUUCCCACUGAACAGCACCUUUGGAAAGAGUGGGCUGAGCGGGGAAGAGGAAAGAAGUCUGCCAAAUCAAGGUGGGUGCUUGGCUCUUCCCUGUACAAGAAUGUGGGGCCACCAGAAAGCUGCAAGCUCACUCCAGUGAAAGGGAGAGCUCUCCUGCCAUGGCCAAGCUGUGGCCUUCUUGCUGUGGGAACAUGGAAAAUGGCUUAAAAAUUCACAGGCAAAAAGCAACUGGAUAAAUUCAGCAGAGAAAUUGGAAGAAGUUAAAUCCAAUGGUCCCGCUCUCUGUUCUAGAGGUCCAUCAGCUCCAAAGCCUCAGUGGCUGGGAGAGGGUCACUGCCUAACAGUCCCUCUCCUGCUUCUUGCCCUCAGCAUCAUGGCAGAGGUGCUGGUCACCCACUGCUUGGCCAGCCAUGAGGGACACCAGCAGGUCACAAGGUGAAAGGGCCCCCUUGCAAUGGCUAUGGAUCCCGGGCAUCAGCCUUGCAGGGUCACAGUGGCAGGAGGAAGAGGUUUUCCCACCCGAAGCACUGAUCCAGAGCUGCAAUGGGAUUUGCCAGGCUGCAGCAUGAAGCAUCUCUCUGCAUUAGACAUAUUUGUUGAUACUUAAUCCACCAAUAAAAGCAGAGCAUGACCAAAUUGAAUAUUUAAUUCAGUGUACGCUAACCAGGAGCUGGUUGGCAUUGGACCCAAUGGAAAAUGUUUGCUGCCCUCUCUCUCUCUUUUUAGCAGAUUUUUCAUGAAAAGUUGUUGGGUUCUUUUUUCUUGUAAUUUAUUCAUAUCUUUUUUUUCCUUUAGGUAAUAACAAUAUGAUCUGAAAAUGACAAUUUUCAUUUACCGACUCAGGAGUUUAAUGAACAAGCUGUUUGAAUAACCAUUUGGACAACUAUUGAAAAAAAAAAAGGGAGAGAAGAAUGCAUUUCAAAUCCUCAAAAUAGCUCCCCCCUCCACCAACUUCAGUAAUGUGCAGAAGAGCAGUUCCUUCAUUUUUUUCCCCCAGCAUACUAGAUGAAACAUUUGAGAGUGUUUGAAGCUGGCAAGAACUGCAUUUCUAGCUACUGAUGUCAUGAAAACAUAAAUUGGCAGAUUUUUCACGCUGGGUCAACAUGUAGCGAUAAGCACAAUGCCAUACCUUUAGGAGCAGUAUUUGUUGGUAAACAGAUGGGAAGCAGCCUGUAAUGUCCAUAGCCAAUGAUACACAGCCAAUGUGCAGUGCUGGGGUGGCUGUCGGAGCAAUAAAUCGAGGAUCUUCCUGGUGAAGCCUGGGCCAUCCUGGGCUGUCAUUGUUGAGCCUGUUGUGGGGAAAAUACACAAUGUGGACAAUCACAAUGAAUAAUUUAGAGAGCGCCCUUGUUCAACGUUCUUCAACUGCCCAUUGACUCAUUUCUGCUGCUCCUGUUUCAAGCAACUGGAGGAAUCCUUCCUAUUUUCCAUGCCAAAUAUAGCAGUUUUUCCAGAAAUGCUCAAACACACAAGCCAGGAAGUUUCCCUUCUCUGGGUGAGUCACUGGAAGUUCAGGCUGCAUUUUCAUGAUUGCUUCAAGCCGAUCGAAAUCUGUGCCGCUGCCAAAGGAGCCGUCCAGCUCUGCCGGUGUGCGGCCUCUCUCACUGCUUGUGCAAUGAGAGGGAAUUAGGGAAUGGACUCUGCCUUUUUUCUUUUUCUUUUUUUUUUUUAUUUUCACCCAGGUUAUUUGGCCAACUUGUCUCAUGGCUGUGCAGGCUUGAGAGAAGCUCCUCUGGUCCUUACAUCAGUGGCUAAAAGCAAAGGGGAUAUGGGGGGAAAUGCCAUCCCUGUGGAUGUGUGUCCCCUGUGUCACUCAGCUCAGCUGCAGAGCUGAUGGGGUCUGUGUUCACACCCAUAGCCCCAGGACAGGAACAUAGGGAAGAUCCCUGCCUGGAAGAAAUUUUCUUGGGUGGCAUUUCUGAGAUUCUGGACAAGGAUGUGACUGGGGACAUUGGGACCAAUCUGUAUCUCAGGACUGUCCCCCACUUGUUAAGGAUGCUCAGGCAUCCUACUUCAGUGGAGACACCUGUGAUAGGCAAGAUUUUGGAGAGAAGAGAUAUUUUAGCAGGAUCAUUCUCUUCCUACUUCUUUCCUUUCCACCUUUCUGCAUCCCUUAGCAUUUAUUUUAGCUGCUGUUCACAUUGGUUUCCAAAGAAAAAGAGCCUUUCUCCCA